CCUACGGGAGGCUGCAGUGAGGAAUAUUGGUCAAUGGUCGCUAGACUGAACCAGCCAAGUAGCGUGCAGGAUGACUGCCCUAUGGGUUGUAAACUUCUUUUAUGUGGGGAUAAAGUGCGUUAUGUAUGCUGCUUUGCAUGUACCUUAUGAAUAAGGAUCGGCUAACUCCGUGCCAGCAGCCGCGGUAAUACGGAGGGUCCGAGCGUUAUCCGGAUUUAUUGGGUUUAAAGGGAGCGUAGGCGGGUUGUUAAGUCAGUUGUGAAAGGUUGUGGCUCAACCGUGAAAUUGCAGUUGAUACUGGCAUGCUUGAGUACAGGAGAGGUAUGCGGAAUUCGUGGUGUAGCUGUGAAAUGCUUAGAUAUCACGAAGAACUCCGAUUGCGAAGGCAGCAUGCGGCACCGCAACUGACGCUGAAGCUCGAAGGUGCGGGUAUCAAACAGGAUUAGAUACCCGAGUAGUC
rnacentral:rRNA from 1 species